rnacentral:lncRNA from 1 species
UUAAAGUUUCAUUAAUCUGGAACAACGAUCUAACUUGACAACUACAAAAGCUCACUACUGUCUUGUUGUUUACAAAACUUUGUCAGAAAGAUACCGAUCUGCACAAGUCAAAAUGCUCCAAAACCAGAAGCGAGAUCGGUGAAUACGUCUUCACUACAUGGUAUCGUGAUCCCGCCCAUGGGAUGGUUGUAUCCAAACUCUUGCUCUGACUGAUGCAGUAACUCUUGAAAUCUAGGCUCGCUUAAUAUUGAUACAGGGACUACAAACCGCUUCUUCUCUUGUUCCCCAACAUAAAUGGCAAAAUAGCCUUUGGGGAUAUCCAUAGAUGCGGGAGUGCUGCAACCAUUAGAGAGGGAUCGUUUGAGAAUUUGUCUUGCGUGAAUGAUACGAGACAUACGGAUGGCCAUGUUUUCAAGGAAGCUAUAGGAUGUUCACUGUAAAGUGUUGUUGAAGGAAGGAAAAAAAUUCAAAGAAUCACUUCUUUCUGAAUGAGUAUGUAGAUUAAUUUCUGGGA